rnacentral:piRNA from 1 species
UGCAGGGACUCAGACCAUUCAAAGG